GGCUGGUUGGUGAAGUGGUUAACACACUGGUUUUAGGCACCAGGAUUCCUGGGUUCGAUCCCCAGACUAGUCA
rnacentral:tRNA from 1 species